GACACCCUCGGUUCUCCCUCUCUUUCGGACCUCCGGUGAUUUCAGCAGCGAUCAGCCGCUGCCCCACCUUCUAUUUGUGCAGAAUCCGACGGCCGCCGCAGCUGAAGCUAGCCACCGUCGAUCCGCCCCUCUCCCUUGAAUCUCCGGCCACCGCCCGUAGAUCAGGCGACGCCACUUCUGACUCUCUCGACUCCGGCAGUAGCAGCUUUCGUAGCCACCACCACCGCCGUCGUCCUCCGCCGAACAGCCCCGCUGUCCAGCCGCUCACCACCAUCUCAGCCCCGACCAUCUCUCUCAAACCUUUUUCCCUCGCUCGUUCUUCUCUGUUAACGGAAACAGGACAGCAGACGCCCCGCCGUGGUGCGCCGCCGCCUUUGUCGCCGGA
rnacentral:lncRNA from 1 species